rnacentral:rRNA from 1 species
AAACCGGAGGAAGGUGGGGAUGACGUCAAGUCAUCAUGGCCCUUACGGCCUGGGCUACACACGUGCUACAAUGGUCGGUACAAAGGGUUGCCAAGCCGCGAGGUGGAGCUAAUCCCAAUAAAACCGAUCGUAGUCCGGAUCGCAGUCUGCAACUCGACUGCGUGAAGUCGGAAUCGCUAGUAAUCGUCGAAUCAGAAUGUCACGGUGAAUACGUUCCCGGGCCUU